rnacentral:rRNA from 1 species
AACGAACGCUGGCGGCAGGCUUAACACAUGCAAGUCGAACGCAUCCUUCGGGGUGAGUGGCAGACGGGUGUAACGCGUGGGAACGUGCCCUUCAGUUCGGGAUAACCCAGGGAAACUUGGGCUAAUACCGGAUACGUGCGAGAGCAGAAAGAUUUAUCGCUGAAGGAUCGGCCCGCGUCUGAUUAGCUAGUUGGUGGGGUAAUGGCCCACCAAGGCGACGAUCAGUAGCUGGUCUGAGAGGAUGAUCAGCCACAUUGGGACUGAGACACGGCCCAAACUCCUACGGGAGGCAGCAGUGGGGAAUAUUGGACAAUGGGCGCAAGCCUGAUCCAGCCAUGCCGCGUGAGCGAUGAAGGCCUUAGGGUUGUAAAGCUCUUUCGUCCGGGACGAUAAUGACGGUACCGGAAGAAGAAGCCCCGGCUAACUUCGUGCCAGCCGCCGCCGUAA